rnacentral:lncRNA from 1 species
GGGUGUGGCUGCCGCCCUUCCCCCACCCACGCCGGCGGGAGCCGCCCGUUCGCGCUGCCAGCAGCUUCCGCCUGCUACGGUCCUGGCAAGCACCUCGGGAUCCCAUUCCUUCACAGGGACCCUAGCCAGUUAAAGCUGAUACAUUCCUGUGGGUCAACUAUGCAACUAACUCAGAUUUUGAGCAAACAAAGCUCUCAAGUUGGUGAUCCUCAGGAGUCUCUGCAUUAGUUGGACAGCUCUUCUGGAAUUAUCUUCUAAGUCAACUGUGGGUUGGGUAGGUGGCUCUGCUGAUUUUUCGCUGGACUUCCACAUUUGGGACGAGUUGGCUGUCAUCAGCUCUAGAAAGGGUGUGGCCGUUUUACAUUGGCUGUUUUCCUCACAUUCCUCAAGCAGGUACUGUAAUAAAGAACUGGAGAAAUACAGUCAGAUGGGAAGUAGCCCUUGCUGUCAAGGAGCUUGCCAUCUAAUGGGGGAGACAGGCAAGUAAACCAAAGACUACACAGUGCAGUAUGGUAAGUGCCAUGAUUUUGAUGUGACAGGGCACAGUGGACGACCUUCCAAAUCAAAGCAAGUAACUAGGGGUUGACAAUGGUAAGUAUCAUAGUUGAAGUAUCCUUGAACAAGGUUUCAGGAAGAAGAAGAAGGGAAUUUCAUGCAGGGAAACAGCCAAAGCUCAGUGAGUCAAAAUAUCACAGCAUUCUUGGUAAGCCCAAUUGUUUUUUCUGUUUUGCUAUUUUGGUGGAGAGAAAGGAACACAUAAAGGAAUAACAUGAGAGAAGGCUAUUUGGGGAAGUGUAGUAGUUAAGGUUCUGGCUCAAACAACAACUGCAGCUCAUAAAGUUGACUUUAGUGGAAGGAUACUGGGGUAUCUCAUGGAAUCUUGGGAACUGUUGAAUAACCAGGGAAACUCUGGGAAACUCACUGGUAGGAAUCCAUAAACUGUCCUCCUGGUGGGCUGUAAACAACUCACCCUCUAUGCAUCUCACAUCAAAAUUCCAGUUUCUUGGGAAAACAAGUCUGUUUGCCCAAUUUGGGUCAUAUUUCCACGUCCAUGUUACUCAGGCAUGAUUCAUCUGCAAGUUAUGUGUAUAGAUAUUUUGCUACUGUUCCACCCUUACGCUGUGCUGGGGAGGGAGGUGUCACUGUGAGCUGUGUCGGUGCCUUAAGAGAUAUCUGUUGUGUCUUAUUACUUGGUUGCUUUUCCCCACAUGUACAAUGACAAAAAUGCCUUCAACCUAUUUGAUCCAGCCGUUCCAGUACAACUCCUAUACUUGCCAUCUUUCCAAGCCCAAAGGUACAUCCAGCUGAUGGAAGGAGCAUCUUGGUGUUAAUAUUCUUUUAGUCAUGGUCUCUGAAAGUAAAAUGUCUAUUCUUCUAAUUCUGGCACAAUCUUAUCUAGCUAUAGUUCCUCAUGGUCCUGCACUCCAUGGACUAAAUUGUAAGUAUAAUUACUACCAAUGUACUCUAUAAAUAACUUUUGGGGCCAGGGUGGCAAUAGUUGCUAGAGAGAAAAAAAAAAAAAAGGAAGGAGAAGAAAACAGUGAUAGUUCUUAUUUUAAAAGGAAAAAAAGAGGCAGGAGGCUCUCUUGAGGCCAGGAGUUUAAGACCAGCCUAGGCAGCAUUUCAAGACCCUGUCUCUACUAAAAAGUAAAAAAAAAAUUUAGUCAGGCAUGGUGGCAUGCACCUGUAGUCGUAGCUACUCAGGAGACUGAGGUGGGAGGAUUGAUUGAGCUCAGGAGUUUGAGGCUGCAGUGAGCAAUCAUCAUGCCAUUGCACUCCAGCCUGGGCAUCAGAGCAAGACCUUGUCUUUUAGGAAAAAAAGGCAGGGAAGAGGAAUAGGUAAUUUUUCAGUGUUCAGACAUUCCAGCAAUAUGUGUGGAGUACUCAUUCUCACUACAGUUUAUGAGGCCAUAGCUAGUAUGUAUGACUACCCAUCCAAGUUUCCCUGCUUACAGUUACUAUUCCAACUGAUUGGGGGGCUUUUCCUAAUAGAGUGAUUUAAGCCUUCAUUUUUAGACAUCUAAGCCCUUGGUGAUCAUCAGCAUAAAAUGUGACAAAUUAAACAAAAGCAAGACAGCACAUCAGAGAACAACUCUGAGGUGGAAUGAUUGGGAACCAAUGAAUAGUUGUUCAGUAAAUGGUUUAUAUUUUACAGAUGAUGAAACUGAAACACAAAAAAUUUAGAUUAACUCUUAGGUGACAAAGCCAGGAUUGAAGCUCAUGCGGUCUGGCUCCAGAACAACUCUUCUUCAUAGUUACGUUAUACUGCCCCUGCAUUGUUGGUAUUGAAAAAUUUCCUUUCAUCUCUGGUAAAAGUCAGCUCUCUAACUACUGCAUCUCACAGCUGAACAGAUAACUGAUACCGUGCUUCCAGAAGAUUUUUCUAACAGUGUUUGCAAGCUAUAAAAUAGUGCUUUCACUUAGAAAAGGCUAGACGUGGUGGUUCAUGCCUGUAAUCCCAGCACUUUGAGAGGCCGAGGCACCAUGCUGGGAGAUAAGGAUCCAACAUAAGACAAACAGUGCUGAUGCUUUUGGAAAGCUCAUAUUCAAGCUGGGGAGACAAACAACAUACAAGUGGCUGUAGCUACCUUCUGCAUAUGGAUAUCCAGUUUUCCCAGCACCACUUAUUAAAGAGACUGUCUUUUCUGCAGUGUAUAUUCUUGGCACCGUUGUUGAAAAUGAAUUCAUUGUAGGUGUGUGGGUUUGUUUCUGGGUUCUCUAUUCUGUUCAACUUGUCUAUGUGUCUGUUUUUAUGCCAGUACCGUGUCAUUUUAGUUACCAGAGCUCUGCAGUAUAAUUUGAAACCAGGUCAUGUGAUUCCUCCAGUUUUGUGGUAUUAGGAUAGGUUUGGCUAUUCUGAGUCUUUUGUGGUUCCAUAUAAAUUUUAGAAUUUUUUUUUUCUAUUUCUGUGAAGAAUGUCAUUGGUAUUUUGAUAGGGAUUGCGUUGAAUCUGUAGAUUGCUUUGGGUAGUAUGGACAUUUUAACAAUAUUCAUUCUUCUAAUCCAUGAACAUG